GAGGGGGUGGGGUGACCCAAGGGACUCCCCCUAUAUUUCAUCUGAUUUGUUACAUUGUGCCAUAUAUGAAUAUGUAUGGUUUAGGGGUGGUGAUCUGGACCGUUUUUGAAUUCUAAAACAGGAAGGGUGGGGUGACCCAUUUUUAAAUUAAAAUUUGUCAAAAAGUAAUUUUGAGUUUCUGUAUAAAAUAUUUUUCUGCUUUUCUUU
rnacentral:lncRNA from 1 species